UCACCUUCGAAGGAGAAAGAAUUCAAAAUGAAGCUGAAACUGGAACAAACUGAGGAAAGAGAAGAAAACCUACAAUCCAAGAGGCAACAAAACUGCGAGGCUGUGCUCACACGUGAGACGCCUGCAGUGAAAGUGCAGGAGAAAAACCAUUAUCACCAUUGAAUCAAUUCGACCUCUGACAAAUCAACAAUGGACACAAAGACCCUCAGAAACAAGAAGUGGGAAACCAUGAAGCCAAGAGCACGUAAGAGCCCAGUCAGUCACUGAAAGAGUAAGAUGUGGGCAGCAGAGUGGGGUUCAACCAAAGGCACCCUGUUCCCCGCAAGCCACAUUGGCUCAGACUGUUCCAGAACCACGCUGGACAAAGGCUACCAAAGCGGCCACCCUGGGUGGAACGCCAAAGCUGAGGAGUUGAAACAUCAUUUCUUUCCUUCCAGAAGUAGGGCCGGCAGGAGAGCCUGCCUGCCUGGGUCGCAGCAGCCGCCCGGCCCGGGGUCAUCACUGCCUCCGAAUGCGGCUGAGUGCCUGCUAACAGGGACGGCCCCACGGCCGCCCAGGACCCUUCAGGAAGUCCUCUGGAUGUGACCCCAGUGCCAGGGGACGUACCUCAGGAAACCCCCUCACCUCCUGGCUAAGUCCCAACUGCGCUUUCCUUCGUCCCGCUGCUCAACCCCUGUUUUGUGCCCUUACAACUUGAGCUGUUUCCAAAAUCAAACCUGCUCAUAAUGGACACAGUUCUUUGGUUCUAGAAAAUUCCAAAAGAAGUCCUCUGCAGGAGAUUUCAAAAGCUCUUUCUCCUUAGUUCAGAAUGACAGAUCUCAUUUUGCCAGUCUCUGGAAUUUCCAGGUGCGUGUGGAUUCCCCAUACAUACGCCUAUUAAAUUUGCUUUUCUCCUCUUAACCUGUCUCAUAAGCAGAAGGACCCUUGAGGGGACAGGAGUUCUGCCCCCGCCAGCGGCCGUCCCAGGGCAGGAGAAGAGCAGCUAAGGGUUUACACCCUGGAGGCGUCCUGGACUCCGGUCCAUCUGUGCCGGGCAUCAAGGGGACCUUGGGCAGGUUGCCCAACGCUUCGCAGCUGCCGCCCACCUGUGAAGUUCUGAUCAAAACCGCGUGCCUCUGCUGUGAGCAGCACAAGGAGCUUCGUGGAGCCGUUUCCAUAAACGCAGCUGCUGCCGUGAGGACGUCAGGUCAGCACACACUCGGGAGACCAGGGCGCCUGUCACCCCGGCACCUGCGUCCACACGGCACAAGCGAGACCGUCCUCUUUGGCCAAGCCCAGCGCAGCUGCGUCCGCCGGAAGUGCAGGCCGAGUUUCAGUGUCGCGGAGUUUAGUGUGGUGACAGGUUUAGUAUGACCCGCCGGCUGACGCGCUGCGUGGAAACUUAGGACUCAUCACCUGCGGUUUCCCCCAAACACACACGGUUACCACAAUGUGAGUUCCCAGCUCUUUUCUACAGCGAGUAACUCAAGUGUUAACUUUUCAAUAUUUUUUCUAACAUGAGUAAGGGGACGACGUUUAUCCCCUUGUGAGGAGAGACACUGGGGGUUCUACCGGCGAGGGCCAGACGCCCGCCGCGCCCUCCGGCCCACCCGGCACGGAGACCUGCCCCAGGAGUUCACCGUGGAGCCCACGGAUGCCACACGGGCAACACGAAGGCCACAACAAACCCGCAGCGAUGUGGUUUCCGGGUGGGCGGGCCGGGGCCCGGCGCCCUACCUGCCUCUGAAGGGCAAGUUCGCCGUCCAGCUCCUCGAGCUUCCUCUCCAGCCUCCACUUCAGGUGUUCAUACUGUUCCCGCCGCUGCUCCAUCUCCCCGUUCUUGUCACUAUGCAAACAAGGCAGUGUCAACACACGCACGGACACAAGAGGGCCCGGGCCGCACUGCGAGCGUGACUGCCUGCACAGGCAGCCUGGGACGGGGUCCGGAGGCGCACAGCACGAUGCCGAAAGCGUCCAGGACACAAGCCAAAGUCGCUGGUCACACCGAGGACCAGGAAGGGAAGGAGCAGUCAGCAGGAGCAGACGCCAAGGUGACGCAGACGUCCGAGUCUCUCAUAAGGGCUGUGAAGCGGCCGUUAUUUAAAAUGCUUCAACAAGCAGCUUAGUUCAGCCUUAGAAAAACUUAGGAAGAAUCCAACAGGAAUUGAGAACUAAGAGGCACCAUAACCGACAGUUCACCGGGCGGCUCAACGGCCGAGUGAACAGAACAUGAUAGAGACAAGAAUCUAUGAACUUGAAACCAAAACAACAGAAAUUGCCCCAUCAAAUAACCGAGAGACACAGGAGAAAAUGAGCAGAGCCCAGGGAACGAGGGACAGCCACAAAGGAGGAGUGGUGGUGCCACUGAGUCCCAGAUAGAGGAAGAGAGGAGGGCCGAAAUGUACUGACAGAAGCCAUGGCAGAAAAUUUCCCAGAUUUG